UUUAGAAACAGAAACAUUUUGGAAAGAUUUUUAAAGAAAUAUUUCAUUAUAAUAUUUGAGAUUGUGUAAGAUUUUAAGGGUGUCUGAAAGCUUUUUUCCACCGCUGUACACAGUGGUAUGUACAGAUAGACACCAGGUGCUGCUAGAGCACCUGCCCCUUGCACUCAGUAUCAAGCAGGUGCCCUCCACGUCUCAACUUUUGUUUUAUUUAAACAAACACACACAGAGGCACUCACACAGAGGCACACACACACAAAUACAGAAGGCAUGCAUGGUAAACUCUCAUGGUUUACAUGGUCAAGUAUAAUGUCCCAUUUCUGUGUUGUUUCUUGUUCUGUUUGUUCCUGUUGUCUGAAUGACUGGUCUAAUAUCAACUUGUCACCGUAAACAUGAUGCACAUUAGAUGUGUAUUUUGACAGAUGUGAUGUAGAAGCAUGAUCUUUUGAUGUGAGGUUGUUUUUUUUUCCAGGACCCCAGGAAGACUAGCUGGUGCCAUUCGCCAUAGGUCCCACACGUGUCUUGUGGCAGCCAACUUGUCCAAACCGAGGCGUCACCUAGACUCUCUGGUCCUUCGGUCGUCAAACCAUAGCGUGCUAGAGUAUGCUCUGAAUGUCUUUAGCGACAUGCCGGACCGCAACAGUGGUCGCCUGGUAUUGGGAUCUCAGUGACUCUCGCAGGCCUUGCCUCCAGACCUGCAGAUGCCAGACAGAAUGAGCUAGCCCUGGUACGCUCGAAACCUGGUCUGUCCAUCCUUCUCCAUCCGUCCGGGGCUCACACUCUACUCUCUUACCUCGUGACUGGUCAUUUCGAUCACCGUGUCCUGGAUAUCUGGGAGGAUGAAUGCGAGGAAUGUGGAGAAUAUGUCUUUGGCCUUGGCUUUGGCAAGAGCUGUGGGUCCCGGAGCUGGGUUGGGGUGAAGAUGGUCAUGGUCACCAUCGUCAUCGUCAUCAUUUGCCCCCGGGCGACCUGGGCACUGAGCUUCACCAUCUCCGUUGCUGUUACUGGGCAUGCUCCUUGGGCUCAGUUGUGCUGCUCGUCGGGCUUGUCCCCUAUCGUUCCAUGGAUCGAGCUGCUGGAGUGUUAUCCAUCACAUGUUGGUGGUUUCUUUGUCUGACUCUGGAAGGCCAGAAGAAACCGUUUCAGUUGUAGGACUCUGAGGUUGUUGUUGUUUUUGUUCUUGUUGGUGGUGGUGGUGCUGCUGUUCUGCAGUAGCAGCAGCAGUCUCGUUUCUCCUGUUCCCGAUGAGGUUUCGAGGUUUUGUUGUGGUUGUUGUUGUGUAGUAGCAGCAGUAGUCUCGUCUUCCCUGGUCCCGACUAGUUCCUGAGUCCUGAGAGCAGGGUCUGAACAUGAGCAUGUUGUCCUCUUCCUCGUGCUCUUCCUCAUUCCCCAUCUCCUUGUUGUAUCCUCUGUUGGUGGCUUACUAUCCAUGUCGGAGGAGAGCCCCCUGGUCCUGGUUGAGUUUGUUGUGUUGCUGGAGGAGCAUAUUAUACGUUCGACUUGUGACAGACCUACUGUAUGGGCCAUGGUCAAGAAUAAGGGAAAAGAUCCAGUCGAUCUCUUUCACCUGUAGGAGGUGGGGUAGAUGGGGGGGAUCGUCAUGUUAUUAUUGUUUUGUUUAGCUUGACCGACCGCUCCCCAAUGACCAGCUUUCUUACUCCCGGCCGACCGGCCUUGUUUCUUUUGUUAUUUUUUGAUUUGUUUUUUUUUUUCAUUUAGCCCGACCGGCCAACCGCUCCCAACCGACCAGGUCUUGCUUUUUUUGGUUAGAUUUUGAUCCACAGCACGCUUGUUUCCCUCCUGGCAGCACUCCUGGGCUUUGACCUUGACUUUGAGCUCAAGGUCGCCUGCGAUCUCUGAAAAACACAGGUUCAGCUGCUAUUCCAUCAGUGACUGGUCGAAAGGCUCUGGAUAGGGUUCCCCCGUGGCCAUGCCUAAAGUGCUCCUGGAUUUGGUGCACAGGUUGUCCAGCUUGAGCAAAUUUUUGUAAUACCGCGGGUGCAGCGAGGGAGACUCAAAGAUCUUGUACCCAGCGGCCUUGACCCACAGAUGGUUUCCUUCCAUCAUGAUUGAAUCCGUUAGCUUGACACCAUUACCUUAUAGACGUCAUUGCUGUCGUUGUCGUCGCUAUCAUCGUCGUCGCUAUCUGGUCACGCUGGCUCGCCCAUGACCAUGUCACAUCGCGUCUCCGAAGCCUGGCUCUCUGCGCUCUCACCGCUCCCAAAAGGCAUCUUUUGUUGUUUGUGUUUUUCACCUUGGGUUUCUGUCAGACUCUCUGGCUGCUUUGAGGCUGACUAUGAUCCCCCCAUCUUGUACAUGUACGGCAGUCAUAAAUAAUAAUAAAAAAAUCCUUCUGGUACCCUAGAGUGGAUGUCUGGUACCCUAGAAACCUGGGGUUGAUCACUCUUCAGCCAGUGAGCAACCUCACUGAUGCGGUGACCGUGCACAAGGGUUAAAGCAUCAAUAAACUGCAGCAACAGGUGUGAUUAAAAUAACACAAACGCUGAAAAACACACAGUGAGUAAUGGCUCUGAUUUGAAUAUACAAAGUUUGUCUGGACAUCAUUUGAAAUGUGCAUGUGUGUGUGUGUCCAUAGCGUGUUUCUGACAGUUUUGGUUGAUCAUCUGACAAUCAGUUUGUCAUUGUCACAGUGUUUUAUCAAUGCAAAUGGAACAUAUUUGAAUUUAACUCAGAGAGGUGGAGUGUUGCUGCGUUAUCCAUCCAAUACAGGAUAUCUGGAUCAAACACUCCACAGAGUCCACCGAGGAGGGACACAGAGGGAGGAAGCUCAGAAACAAACACUCAGAAGAUGUCUGUAAACUCCUCCAAAGAUUCCCUUCUCCAUCCAAACAUCUCCUCCAUUAGCUCUGACUUCUCUUUAUUCAUCCAUUGUCUAAUGUCCAGACCAAGCUCCCUCAUCUUCACCACAUUCAUCUUCACCAACAUCCUCCUCCUCCUUCCCCUGUCCAUCUUCAUCAUCUACCAUGGUCUCCAACAAUGGAGACAAAAUCACUCCACCUCCUCAGCAGCAAUCAUGAGUCACUCUGACAGCUUCACCUACAACAUGGUCACCAUGGAGAUGAUUGGAGUCUUUGGGUCUGUCCUCUGCUGCUGUGGUAUCUACGCUGAUCAUUUAAUCACAUUAUUAGUGGGGGUCUGUCUUUUUCUUUCACCUGGUAUGGUGGGAUGUUCUUCCACGUCCUGACCUGUGUGGAGCGCUACCUGGCUGUGGUCCAUCCCAUCACCUACCUGAGCCUGAGAAAAGAGAGAGGGAUCAGAAUCAGGAACAUCAGCAUCGGCUGUGUCUGGCUGCUUUGCUUUGUAAAGAUCAGUAUGCUGGUGCUGACAGAGUCCAUCUUUUAUGAUUUAUGCAUCUUGAUACCAUCUUUAUCCGUCGUCUCCUUCUGCAGUGUUUCUGUUCUCUGUGUUCUGAUUCGUCCAGGUCCAGGGGAACAGGGUGGGGACAGGAAGAGGGUUGACCAAUCAAAGCAGAGGGCGUUCUACACCAUUAUGGUCAUACUGGGAGUACUGGUGGUGAGGUUUACUUGGUAUCUGGUUUGGGCUGUGGUGUACAAGUUGGAAAGUGAUACUAAUUGUGUGAUAAUGACAACAGGUAUCUGGCUUAUUCUUCCCAGAAGUCUGGUCUUACCUCUGCUGUUUCUACUCAGAGCAGGAAAAUUAAUGUGUUUGAAGAAGAACAUCCAGUGAGGAUCAGGCCGAGAUUUGCAAAAGUACAAUUACAACAGAUACACAAAAACAGGCGAAUGGAAAAUUAUGUAGAAACAAUGACAGUCAAGAUUAGACUGCAAGAUGAUCAUGAAGUUCAUUUCACAUCUUUAUUUUUCCCCAUUUGGUUUCAGAUUAAUUUAAUAACAGACCUGAAUCUGAAACCUCCUUUUCCUUUUCUUGGUGGCGUCACAUCAUUUUUAUUCUCCUACUGCAGCCUUUCUGUUCUCCGUGUUAUCAUUUACAAAAAUAAUACUGUAAAAAACAUCCAUGUAGAUAACAAAAUGACAGUAAAUCUUAUCUGAGUGUUUUUUCUCUUUACUGUCUCAUAGAUUUUUAAUGGACAACAAAACUGCCCAAAGUUCUUGAUUGAAACACCCUCUGGUUUGGUCUCUUAAAGUGCCAAGUUGGUGUGUCAGCUGCUGAGGGUUUUAAAAAACAUUUUUUUACCUGAGAUAAUCCCACACUCAUAGAUCUUUACAUGUAGAACAGAUUUCUCCUCGUCAUUAACUUUUUAUCCCAUUUUGUGGUGUCAUGUGGUGAACCCAUGGCAGAAAGCACAGGAGGUCCUCUACUUACGUCUGAAUUCCAUUCAUAAGGAUCGAUGGAAGUCGGUUCUCACCGCAAGUCGGAACUCCAGCAAAAAUGUGAACAGUUGCAUCACAACAUCAGUUCUUCAGUCAUGAAUACCAACGACUUUCAUGCAUGUAUAAAUCAUUUUACUAGAAGAUAACAGAAUAUGUUGACCCGUUUAUGAUUUGAUCUACUUGAUCAUGCUGGGAACCAUAAUGAAGGACAGAACUAGUUCCAUGUAACCAGUUCGGACUUAACGAUGAAACACUGUAGGUCGGUGAUGUCAUAAACCGAAGACCUCCUGUUGAGUGAUUCAAUUUUAUUUAUAUAGUGCCAAUUACAGUCAAAUUGUCUCAAGAUUCUUUACAGAACCCAAAUGUGUGUUAUACAACUAGGCUGGACUCGAGCAGAGAACCACGCUAUCGAGACCAAGAUGCAGUUUGAAAAUGAUUUAUUAUGGGGGAGAGGGAAGUGGAUCUGACGGGAGAAGAGCCGGGGUCUUGUCGGGAGGGGAAGCGAGGAGCGGUACCGGGUGGGCUGCGUUUCAGCCGGGGGUCGGCGGCCGUAGGUUCCAGGAGGGGAAGCAGAGUGCGGCGCCGGAUGGUCUUGGGAUCCCUGGCGACUGGAGGGGAUGCAGAGAUUUGGGGACAGGAGGGCUAGGAUGCAGGCUGGACAGACUGGAGCGUUCGGAACCGGGCUGGUUUGAUAUUUCUUCCUGAUUGUCACAGACAGGAGUGGGGGCGCCAGGAGAGAAGGGGGAAUGGUGCCGAGAGGAGGUUCUGGGGCGAGGUUGGGUCCAGAGGAGGAAACCAGAGAGAAACAGCAGGCAGGAGUCUGAGCAGCGGAUUCUGGUAAGACAGGAGAACACGGUUAGUGGUUAGCUUCAAAAACCAACAGGUCAAAAGAACGAGAAGGCGACUGACUGGGUAAGUCGAGUCUAACGAUCCGGCAGGAUGUUGCAGGAUGAGUCGGUGUUUUAUUGCCAGGGUGUAAUCAGAAGAAUGAUCGUCAGCUGCUCAGACUCUGGUGGGACUGACUGAGGGAAUGGUUUCAGCUGCUCUCAUCAGCUCUGCUGUCAGGAGAGGGAGAGAAGACAGGAUGAUGAAUUAACAGGUGUCAGGUGUGGGUGAGCGUGAGGGGAGGAUCCUGACAAUAUGCCUGACCUGAUUCUGAUUUUAUCAGUUUAUGUAAAAAUCUUUAUUGUGUUUCUGUUUUGUUAAUCUGCUGAAAAAUCAUGUUUUGAAAAAAAGAUCAAGUCAUGUAUAUUUUUGACUGAAUUCUCCUGUGUGAUGCUCAUAAAACCUGUUAUGUUUCUUCUGCUUCCCUGUAUAAUCCUGAUUAAACAACUAAAAAACCUG